rfam:Tannerella forsythia 92A2, complete genome.
CCCAACGCUUCGCUUCGCUACGCAUUGGGCUGAAUUAUUACGCCCUUUCAGGGCU